rnacentral:rRNA from 1 species
AGUGAACGCUGGCGGUAGGCCUAACACAUGCAAGUCGAACGGCAGCACAGUAAGAGCUUGCUCUUACGGGUGGCGAGUGGCGGACGGGUGAGGAAUACAUCGGAAUCUACUUUUUCGUGGGGGAUAACGUAGGGAAACUUACGCUAAUACCGCAUACGACCUACGGGUGAAAGCAGGGGAUCUUCGGACCUUGCGCGAUUGAAUGAGCCGAUGUCGGAUUAGCUAGUUGGCGGGGUAAAGGCCCACCAAGGCGACGAUCCGUAGCUGGUCUGAGAGGAUGAUCAGCCCCACUGAAACUGAGACACGGUCCAGACCCCAACGGGGGGCAGAAGGGGGGAAUAUGGGAAAAGGGGGGAAAGCCUGACCCAGCCAACCCGGGGGGGUGAAGAAGGCCUGCGGGUUGUAAAGCCUUUUUGUUGGGAAAGAAAAGCAGCAGGUUAAAACCCCGCUUUUCGGCCGGAACCAAAAGAAUAAGCACCGGCAAACUUCGU